UCUCUUGUGUGUAUUUCUGGCAUUGUCUGUACAGUUACUGACACCCCUUUCCCAAUUUUUUUUCCAGCUGUACUUUCUGGGACCUGCCUCCUGUGCAGGGAGGUUUUUUCCUUUCUUCUACAGCUUUUUGGAAAGAAGGAUUUCCCAUGUUGUUCUCUCCCCUGAAAUACCUUCUGGCAUGUUCCUAGUCCAUCCUCUGUGCUCUUCAGCUUGCUCUGAGAAAGCUGAGAAUGCUCUCAGUGUGAUGAGCUCAAGGUGGGGAAUGCACAGGAAGUAAAAAUGAGCGCCUUGGGACAUUGAAUAAGGAGACAAGGACGUGCUUGCUCUCCCAGCCAGGAGAAGCUCUGCCACCCCAUCCUCAGGAGCUUCCCCUCUGGGCUCUGUUUUCAGCCACUCUGGGAAGGAUCCUCUCAGCUGUCCAUGGAAUGGGGAAGCUGUGGAUAUCAGAGAAAAUCAGCUUCCCUGGAGUGUGAARGGGAAGGAGCAGUGAAGAGCUGAAGGAGAGA